GCCUCUGCCUCCCAAGUGCUGGGAUUAAAGGCGUGUGCCACCACGCCUGGCUUCCAUGUUAUUCUUAUCCACUGCAAGAAGUAGCUUCUCUGAAAGGCAAGAGAUGAACAACUCUUAGUAAGACAUUGGGAGUCAGUUUAAUAUUAUUACCAUGUAGCAGAAUAUUUGUAGUAGGUCCUUCUCUAGGAUCUAUGCUGUUUCAGAAUAUUAUGAUGGAUAUUUGAAAAGUAUAUGAUUGCCUCAAUUCUUUAAAGUUCCUUACAGUUUAGAAAUAGACCAUAUUUAUUAAUGAUUGGUACUCAGUAGUUUGACAGCAUAGUUAAUGUUGUGUUUGUUUGCUGUUAACAUUGCCUAUCAGUUUUAAUUUCAAGUUAUAUAAUGGUAUCUCCACUUUUUUGCAUGACUGAGUUAAAGAAUUUCUCAUCCUGCAUCAUCAAAAUCAUUGAGUUACAAAAGGACCAUGUCUGAGAACUCUGCCACCAUGAAUAUAGGAUGUUAGCAUAUCUUCAUGUAUCUCUGCAGCAUUCUUCUGGCUCCUCUGUGUGACUAUGGAAUAGUUACAAGGAUACUGGUUAGUUAUGAGUAUGAGUAGACCUACAUAAGGAAUUGAAGUGUACUGCCAUUGUAAUAACAUGCAGGCGUUUUAUAUGUUGAGGCAUCCUGUAUCUUUAGGAUGAAUGCUACUUAUCCAUAGCCUAUGUUUGGUUUGGCAAAUUGAAGGCAUGGCUUUACACAUG